rnacentral:rRNA from 1 species
UACGGGGGGGGGCAAGCGUUGUUCGGAAUUACUGGGCGUAAAGAGUGUGUAGGCGGUGCUCUAAGUCUGUUGUGAAAUCUCCCGGCUUAACUGGGAGGGUGCGGCGGAGACUGGAGUGCUAGAGUGCGGAAGAGGGAAGCGGAAUUUCCGGUGUAGCGGUGAAAUGCGUAGAUAUCUGGAGGAACACCGGUGGCGAAGGCGACAUCCUGGACCGGUAUUGACGCUGAGGCGCGAAAGCCAGGGGAGCAAACGGGG